rnacentral:rRNA from 1 species
UACGUAGGUGGCGAGCGUUAUCCGGAAUUAUUGGGCGUAAAGCGCGCGCAGGCGGUUUCUUAAGUCUGAUGUGAAAGCCCACGGCUCAACCGUGGAGGGUCAUCGGAAACUGGGAAACUUGAGUACAGAAGAGGAAAGCGGAAUUCCACGUGUAGUGGUGAAAUGCGUAGAGAUGUGGAGGAACACCAGUGGCGAAGGCGGCUUUCUGGUCUGUAACUGACACUGAGGCGCGAAAGCGUGGGGAGCAAACGGG